rnacentral:rRNA from 1 species
AGCAAACGCUGGCGGCAGGCUUAACACAUGCAAGUCGAACGCCCCGCAAGGGGAGUGGCAGACGGGUGAGUAACACGUGGGAACGUACCCUUUGGUUCGGAAUAACUUGGGGAAACUCAAGCUAAUACCGGAUAAGCCCUUAUGGGGAAAGGUUUACUGCCGAGGGAUCGGCCCGCGUCUGAUUAGCUAGUUGGGGAGGUAAUGGCUCACCAAGGCGACGAUCAGUAGCUGGUCUGAGAGGAUGAUCAGCCACACUGGGACUGAGACACAGCCCAGACUCCUACGGGAGGCAGCAGUGGGGAAUAUUGGACAAUGGGGGCAACCCUGAUCCAGCCAUGCCGCGUGAGUGAUGAAGGCCUUAGGGUUGCAAAGCUCUUUUACCCGGGACGAUAAUGACUGUACCGGGAGAAUAAGCCCCGGCUAACUUCGUGCCAGCAGCCGCGGUAA